rnacentral:rRNA from 1 species
AGCAGCCGCGGUAAUUCCAGCUCCAAUAGCGUAUAUUAAAGUUGUUGCAGUUAAAAGGCUCGUAGUUGAAUUUCGGGGUUAGUAGGUUGGUCAUGCCUCUGGUAUGUGCUGGUCUCACUGAUUCCUCCUUCCUGAUGAACCUUAAUGCCAUUAAUUUGGUGUUUUGGGGAAUUCGGACUGUUACUUUGAAAAAAUUAGAGUGUUUAAAGCAAGCUAACGCUUGAAUACAUUAGCAUGGAAUAAUGAAAUAGGACGUUCGAUCCUAUUUUGUUGGUUUCUAGGAUUGACGUAAUGAUUAAUAGGGAUAGUUGGGGGCAUUAGUAUUCAAUUGUCAGAGGUGAAAUUCUUGGAUUUAUUGAAGACUAACUACUGCGAAAGCAUUUGCCAAGGAUGUUUUCAUUAAUCAAGAACGAAAGUUAGGGGAUCGAAGACGAUCAGAUACCGUCGUAGUCUUAACCAUAAACUAUGCCGACUAGGGAUCGGCGGAUGUUACUUUUAGGACUC